rnacentral:lncRNA from 1 species
GAGACAGUUACCGUGCCAGUGUGGUGUGGUGAGUGUGCUUAGGGGAGGAGGAGGAGGUGAAGUCAGGACCUCACAAGACAACCAAAUGCGACGAAUGUCCGAAAACAAAGCGACCAACAACAGAAAUGUGAACAAAGAAAAGGAAGACAGUGAACUGAAAGGUUCAUUUCACAUUGGCACAGGACAUACAGUGUGAAAUGGAUAUGGACCUGCAUUGCUGGGGCAGUGGGGAGCUUGGCCAGACUGGACAUGGCAGUCCAGGGCACCUUGGUCCAGAAGAAGCUCAUCUGAGAGAGUUCACAAAGGCAAGGCUGGGCAGAGUGAAGCUCCUGGCAUGCGGAUCCAGUCAUUCCAUUGUGGUCACAGUGGACAACAAAGUCUUUGCAUGGGGAAAUGGAACCAGUGGACAGCUUGGUGACGGAGAGAGGGCAGUAAAGGACCAGCCAGUUGAGGUUAAGUUGCAGCAGGAACUGAACGUUAAAGGAAGCGAUGCAGAUGUGGAUCUCGUCAACAUAGUGGGUGUUGCCUGUGGAAGCAGACACUCCUUCAUAUGGACUGAAGCUGGGCAGGGCUACAGUUUUGGGAACAACUUUUAUGCCCAGCUAGGUUAUGACGUCCAGAAGCUUGACUUCAAAGACCACCAGGUAGGAUGAUAAUGGUUUGUUAACAGUGAUGACCGAAUCUAACCCUAACCCUUCUGAAUAAGA